GGGGAUGUAGCUCAGUGGUAGAGCACUUGCCUAGCAUUGUGGCAAGGUCUUGGGUUUGAUCCUCAGUACUGCCA
rnacentral:tRNA from 1 species